rnacentral:lncRNA from 1 species
UUAAUCUUAUGGUCACAACCCCCUAAAUAUUCUCCCAUCUAAAGCACACAUACCCCACCAAUACCAAAUAAUAAAAUAAUCAUAAAAAUACACAAUUAAAUCAAAAUGACUUACAUAAAAUAAAUUACUAAAAUUGGGGUGUUACAACUCUCCCUCACUUAAAGAAUUUUCGCCCUAGAAAAUUUCCUCAAGUGAACAAAUUU